GGGGGAGGGAGCCGGAAGCUGAGCCAAUCGUCCAUCUUCUUUCCUCCGGGAACGAGGGUUCAGGGUUCCAGGUGGCCAGGAGAACGCAUCUUGACAGGAAAGGCGAGCAUGCCUAUGGGCUGCUACACAAACACAAAGCCCGCCACGGCUCACAGGGCCAGACCAACACAGGCAACAGAGAAACCACGGAUGCCACACCCUCGUCACUCACAAAUCAUCUGCUUGGGUUCGUGACGGUGGACUUGGAAGUGAAACUUCAACCUCAGGACCUCAGCCUGCCAGUCUGCAGAGCACACGGGAGCAGGAGGCGGCAGGAGGAGAGAACAGGACAGGAGAAGACAGAAGAGGAGACGAGAGGAGAGGAGAGGAGAGGAGAGGAGAGGAGAGGAGAGGAGAGGAGAGGAGAGGAGAGGA